GCCUGGUUGGCUCAGUCGGUUGAGCGUCCGACUUCGGCUCAGGUCAUGAUCUCGUGGUUCGUGGGUUCGAGCCCCGCGUCGGGCU
rnacentral:tRNA from 1 species